rnacentral:tRNA from 1 species
GCCAGCGUAGCUCAGCGGUAGAGCAGUGCUUUCGUAAAGCACAGGUCACGAGUUCGAAUCUCGUCGCUGGCU